rnacentral:rRNA from 1 species
UACAGAGGGUGCGAGCGUUAAUCGGAAUUACUGGGCGUAAAGCGUGCGUAGACGGUUAUUUAAGUCGGGUGUGAAAGCCCCGGGCUCAACCUGGGAAUUGCAUUCGAGACUGAAUAGCUAGGGUACGGUAGAGGGAAGUGGAAUUCCCGGUGUAGUGGUGAAAUGCGUAGAUAUCGGGAGGAACACCUGUGGCGAAAGCGGCGCACUGGACCACAACUGACGCUGAGGCGCGAAAGCUAGGGGAGCAAACAGG